GCUGGGUGUGGCAGCGCAUGCCUGUAAUCCCAGCUACUUGGGAGGCUGAGGCAGGAGAAUUGCUUGAACCCGGGAGGCUGAGGUUGCAGUGAGCCAAGAUCACACCGUUGCACUCCAGCCUGGGUGAUAGAGCAAGACUCUGUCUCAA
rfam:Homo sapiens chromosome 11, GRCh38 reference primary assembly.